UUUUUUUUUUUUUGCUUCGAGACCAGCGCAGAGGUGAUUGGGGAGAAGGUAAAGAGCAAAAUGACCAUCAGCAGCAAAGCAGUCUCCAAGUCUCACAACAUCUUGGCAAAUUUGACAAGCACAAGUGCAUAACUAUGUUUAUGAACAAAACAAGAAUUGCAUAGAUGUCGCCAUAGCUCCUAGCAAUAAAAGGCCAGCAAAAGCAAAAUGGAAUCAUCGAAUGAAAUGAAAUGCUAUCAGCAAAGGCAUUGAGAUACGCGAAGAACAUGCGUGCAUUAUGCAUCUGCUAGCCUGCCUGCUCUUGGCACUACACUGGUACCAAAUUGGACAGGCAGAGGCCAUGUGAUGUUCCUUGUAUCGAUAUCUCCAUAAAAAAGAAGGCAACAGCUAAAAUUUUUGCUGUCUAAUUACUAUCGAUGAACUCUUUUAUUUUGCAGUACUACUGUCCAUAUGCCUUCCUUGUUAGCAUUUUUUUGUUACAAGUUUCAAUCAGAAUUGUUGACACGAGCGUGAUGUUCCCUUUGAUCAACUACUCUACCAGCAACUGUUGCCGGCGGUUCCUUCUUGCUGCGACUUGAUGCAAGUGUCCGGCACAAGGAUAUCGAACCCGCUGAGCGUCCACUCGGCCUCGGCGUUCUCGCUGACGUAUAUCUCCGUGCCCACGUCGAGCGACGUCCACCGCCUCCUGGCCGCCGGCGUGCCCGGGUCCUGGUAGAAGUAGAGCGCCUGGGACAGGGCGCCGACGUCGAGCUCCCAGGCCCUGGGGUCGCCGACCCAGCCCUGCCCCUUGGCCGUGGGGUAGCCGAACUCGCCCCACACCGGGUGCGGCAGGAGCUGCAGGAUCUCCUGCGGCUGCGGGUUGCUGUAGGCGUCGCAGUAGGUGGUGGGCUGCUCGGCGCGCCGCGCGUUCCCGGGGGAGCAGUAGACGUGGUACGCGCCGUAGGGGAAGCGGGCGGCGUCGGUGCGGUGCACGCGGGUGCCGUUCCGGAAGGUGUGCCACGGCGGGCACUGGUCGAUCCUCGACGGCCGGCACCACGCCGGCGUCUCCGGGUUGAUGAUCAUCUCGCUGUACCGCGUCACGUCCGUCGCGGCGUCGCCGUCGCACGGCCGGCCGUCGUUCUUCCAGCAGCUGCCCAUGUCCAUCAGGUAGAACUGGCUGUUGGGACCGCCGCCCUGCUUCACCUCCAGCGUCACGCGCACCUUGAAGUCCGGCGAUUCCGGCACCUGUUUGGUCAUGCCCCUGGUGUCGUAGUGGUAGCCGCCGGAGAAUCCCCUGGUGGCGUCGGAGCGCAGGUACAGCAUCAGCCACGGGUACUCGUUUGACGUCCGCAGCUUGUGGUGGAACGCCCACCCGCCGGCGCCGGCGCUCGCCGCCACCUCCUUCUCCCACGUGACGGAGUAGUAGGACACGUCGCCGCUGCCGGGAUCCGCGGCGUCCAGCUCGUAGGUGCCGAAGAGACCGCCGCGCAGCCACCGGCCGGCGUCGUCGAGCGCGGUGCGGUUAUGGAACACCAGCGGCUGGUUCAUGCACCGGCCGGCGCCCCCCGGGCAGGGGAACCGGGAAGUCUGCGGGAACGGGCGUGCCCGGCGGCCGUUCUCCGGGCAGAUGGCCGCGGUGGUGUCGAGGUUGCCGUUCUUGAGCAUGACCAUCCAGAACUGCCACGGCGCGGGGUUGUCAGGCACCUGGCACAGGCCACCGAGGUAGAGCUCCUUGGCCGCCGCGUAGCGGUCGACGUCGGUGACGGUCGCGUUCGCCGGCGCCCCCGGGAACGGGUUGCCCGCGCGGAGGUCGUUGUCGGCGUCGGUCACCCGGUGCACCACCUCGUACACCGGCUGGCCGUGCUCGCCAGCGCUAGUCUCUGCAAAGAUUUAGCUAGCCUUGCUGAAUAAUCGAAAUUCGAAUCUUGGAAAACCGCGGCGUGUGGAACUGGAAGAAUGGAAGGGCAGGAGAAGAUGAGAGAGAGCAUCAACCGAGAUCGAAGCAGUCGGCGCCGCGGGGGCUGCCCAUGCCGGGGGCCUCCUGGCCGACCUCGUUGCAGAAGUUCCAGGCCUCCCAGGCCACGCGGAGGCCGUCGCGCCGCAUGCCGGGGUCCCCGACCGCGGAGACAUAGCCGCCGCCGCCGCCGCCGUGCGUCCUGAUGGCCCGUACUGCCUCGCAGAACGAGAGAACGGCGAUGAGGAGGGAGGCCGGCCACACGGCCAUUUUGGGGGAAAGGUGCUGAUGCGGAAGGCCGAGCUGAACUCCACCAAACUGUGGCGAGGAUGCCGAGGCCCCACAGCCGCGAGAGGGGCCAAAGCCACGGAGGCGGCUAGAAUGGAGCGUAGCAGCGCAGGGGCGGCGGGGCAGGGCUGUCGGCUGUCGCGACGAGCGGCGGCGGAGGCGGGGCUGGAGAAGAGCGGAUGCUGCGCGGAUAAGGCCGAGAACAAAGCUGAUGGUAUGAGCAGAAAACUCAACAGAGCAAGGCUGGGGAAGCACGACGCAACGCGUGCAGAAAGUUGGUGAUUCCAGGAAGCAUUGGUGUUGGGGGGGUGAUGAGGUGCUAAAGCAUCUUUGCCUUCCUGUUGCUAUGAACAAAAUCACGCCAAUCAAAUAAAAACCCAGGCAAAUUUUGUAAGCAUAACCAUGCUUAUGUGCCAAAAAGAAAAGGAGAUGGCCAUAUUUUGUAAAUAUGCAGCACCAUCAGAUCAAGAUGCUCAUCAACGGCAAAGCAGUCUCGUCAUCUGAAGCAACAGGGAUGAGCAUCUAAUAGUAGUUCUUGACAAGCAGCUUUGUCACAUUUGACAUAGUGCUGCUGAUGGUCAACGGCAGCAGCGCAGCAGUCUGAGUCGCACAACGUUCUUGACAAAUUUGACAAGCAUAACUAUGUUUAUAUGAACAAAAUAAGGUUGUAUAGAUGUCGCCAUUAGCUCCUAGCAAAAAAGAAAAGGCCAGCAAAAGCAAAAUGGAAUCAUCAAAUGAGAUGAAAUGCUAUCAGCAAAGGCAUUGAUGCGCGAAGAACAUGCGUGCAUUAUGCAACUGCUAGCCUGCCUGCUCUUUGCACUACACUGGUACCAAAUUGGACAGGCAGAGCCAUGUGACCGCCACACCCCACUCAUAGUGACCUACAAGACCAUCAUCACCUUCAGUUCACCCACCAUCCCCCCUCCAAACCAACUCCAGCUGACCACAACAGUUGGAACAUAAGACAAACAAGUAAUAAACGUGCUCAACAGACUCAAACCAAAACUCAAGUGAUGUCCACAGACCAUAAUGAUCACACAGCAAAGGUAAACUAAAAACGCUUUUAAUCAAGUCCACGGUACAUAAAGGAUUACAUGCUGAUUUUUUUUUGGGGGGUUUUCAUAGUUCCGAAUAGAAUUACAUAAGGCGAGGACGUGAGUCUCGCUGGUACCAUACAUAAUUUACAUCCAGGUUCCUUAGUAGCAGUAAAAAGUAGUGUUCUAGGAUGAGACGAGCGCUAAUACAACACAGAGACAUCU
rnacentral:lncRNA from 1 species